UGUGGGUUUGCUGGUUUCUCUCUUGAGGUCAGCUCCCCUGAAAUGCAUUAGCUGAACAAUUUGUGGACCUUGUUCAUUGGUGUGAUAAUUAUCUACGCUACUGACAACAAAGCAAGCUCAGCUUCUAACAGUCCAUUGACUUGGACAAUGUUUAUAUCAAAUGUGACCUCAAAUCAGGUAGGACUACCCGCUGAACUUAA
rnacentral:misc_RNA from 1 species